rnacentral:lncRNA from 1 species
GGCCUUUGUUAACCCUGNCCUAUCUCUCAUCGGUCUGCUCCCAACUUCUUCCGCGAGGGUCUGUAAAUAUUCAUGGGCCUUUGCAUGUUGCUAGCCAGGGCGUGGUUGAUUUUAAUGACGUUGAUUUUAAUGACUCUUGGACUGAGCACCUAAUUCGUGCCAAGGGCUUCCAGCUGAAAUCCAGUUCCUGCGCCUUAAGUGCAAUAACAACAGAGCUCAAAGGAUAUAUUUGGGAGAUGCAAGGACAGACGAAAGAACAAUCCUGCAACUUGAAACCCUCGCUUAGGGUUGGAUUGGAUAUUGGGCCCCAGUGUCAGUCACUACNUCCAGGCAAAGUGAACUGUUCCUGGAAUGUGAAGCAUGCAGCUCCCCAAACUGGUUGGGCUCGCUCCGAAGGGCGGCGUUGCCUNCCGAAACUCUGCCUUGGGAGUUCCUCGUCCUUCGCCUCGGCUUCAUGCUCCCGUCCGCCACUCCAGCGAUCGUCUCCAGGGCGGACGGAAUGGAGACCCUGCGCCGGAGCCUUUCGCGUUGGAAGAAGUACCACAUCAAAAUCCACCUGGCCGAGGAGGACACCUUGCUGCCCCUGACCGUGCGGCCCACGGACACUAUGAUGGACCUCCGGGCCCACCUGGUGCGCGAAGGCGUCACGUCGUGGAAAAAGACGUUCUGCUACAACGCUCGNCAGCUCGAGGAGCACGAGACGGUGAAGGAAGCCAAGAUCCAGAACGGGUCGGUUGUCCUGCUGAUCAGCAACAAAAGGUGAUGUUCGGCGGAGGUGCUUUAGGAUCUGUCAGUAUGGUGUUGUCGUUCAGGGAGAAGAUUGGUUCUGGACCUCUCUCGCACCCAGGUGAAGAAGAGAGGUGGGAAGUUUUCCAUUCCCCCAGGAAACUGGGAGAGAAAGAUAUCCAAAGGGUGAAAAGUUGCUGAACGUAGAAGGAUCCGUCCCAGCUCCUUCUUCAUAGCCUGGCCUUGGUGCUCUGGUUUCAUCUCCAUAAUCUCCA